UCCCUGGUGGUCCAGUGGCUACGACUCCACAUUCCCAAAGUGAGGGGGCCCAGGUUAGAUUCCUGGUCAGGGAA
rnacentral:tRNA from 1 species